GAGCCAAGGGUAGGAGCGGGAGAGUCGAGGAGAGGAGGAGCGGGCGGCCUGAGGAGGAGGAGCGGGCGGAGUCACCGCACCGCCGGCGGCGGCGGAGGAGGGGGGUGUGCGCGGAUCACAUGGUCGAGGAGCCCUCCAGGUCAGCUGCCGUGCCCGCUGCCGAGCCCUGCCACAGGAAACUGCUGUGCCGCGCUUGUGCCGUGCGGCCCCCAGGAGCCGCCCGCACCCGGUGCUCAUGAUGUGGGCCCGCGAGCGCCACCGCCUGCAGUCCCGGGCGGCGCGGUGAGGGCCGCACCCUGUCCAGCGCCAUGGAGCUGAACGCAGGAGGUGUGAUUGCCUACAUCAGUUCCUCUAGCUCUGCCUCCAGCCCUGCCUCUUGUCACAGUGAGGGUUCUGAGAAUAGCUUCCAGUCCUCGUCCUCGUCUGUUCCAUCUUCUCCAAAUAGCUCUAACUGUGAUGCCAACGGCAAUCCCAAGAACGCUGAUAUCUCUAGCAUCGAUGGUGUUCUGAAGAGUGACCGCACAGAUUGUCCUGUGAAAACAGGCAAAACCAGUGCUCCUGGCAUGACUAAGAGUCACAGUGGAAUGACAAAAUUUAGUGGCAUGGUUCUACUGUGUAAAGUCUGUGGGGAUGUGGCAUCAGGAUUCCACUAUGGAGUUCAUGCUUGUGAAGGCUGUAAGGGUUUCUUUCGGAGGAGCAUUCAGCAAAACAUCCAGUAUAAGAAGUGCCUGAAGAAUGAGAACUGUUCCAUCAUGAGGAUGAACAGGAACCGGUGCCAGCAGUGCCGCUUUAAGAAGUGUCUGUCUGUGGGGAUGUCACGAGAUGCUGUUCGAUUUGGCCGAAUUCCUAAGCGUGAAAAACAGAGAAUGCUAAUUGAAAUGCAAAGUGCAAUGAAGACCAUGAUGAACACCCAGUUCAGUGGCCACCUGCAGAAUGACACCUUAGCAGAACAGCAUGAUCAGUCAGCACUACCAGCUCAGGAACAGCUGCGGCCCAAGUCCCAGCUGGAGCAAGAAAACAUCAAAAACACUCCUUCUGAUUUUGCAAAGGAGGAAGUGAUUGGUAUGGUGACCAGAGCCCACAAGGAUACCUUUCUGUAUAAUCAGGAACAUCGAGAAAACUCAUCUGAGAGCAUGCCACCUCAGAGAGGAGAACGGAUUCCCAGGAACAUGGAGCAAUAUAAUUUAAAUCAAGACCAUCGUGGCAGUGGGAUUCACAACCACUUCCCCUGUAGUGAGAGGCAGCAACAUCUCAGUGGACAGUACAAAGGGAGGAACAUAAUGCAUUACCCAAACGGCCAUGCCGUUUGUAUUGCAAAUGGACACUGUAUGAACUUCUCCAGUGCUUAUACUCAAAGAGUCUGUGAUAGAAUUCCAGUAGGUGGAUGUUCUCAGACUGAGAACAGAAAUAGUUACCUGUGCAACACUGGAGGGAGGAUGCAUCUGGUACAGUGAAAUCGAUUCUUUGCUCGCCUUGUAUCAAGGAAAGCUUGGAAGGUUUUCUUUUGGGGGGCAUGUUGAGUUGGGAGGUGGGUGAGAAAGCCCAAGAGAUUUCUAGAAGCCUCUUUGUGUAGUAUUUUAGUGAAAUGUUAAUAAGCAGUGCAUAAGGAUUAACUUAAUUUUACAUAACAGUAGGUAUGAGCUUGUGCUUUAAUUGCUACUGUGGGGUUAGGAUUUGUAUAAAAUAUGAUUGGUACAGAAUUGAUCCUAUAAUUCCUAGAAAUAUCUUUGGAAAUUUAGGUGUUCCGAUCAGUUAGUAGUUCAUUAACAUUGGAAUCUUUUGCAAAAGAGUUGAUCUUUUAGCUUCUUUGAUUUCUUCGGAGAGAGAUUUUGUUGCUUUUGUGGGGAUGGUCUUGGGAUGUUGCUUUGAGCUCCUGGGUUCAAGCAAUCUUGUGGAUCAUUGGGACUUCAGGGUGCAUCACUGCCAAACAGAGGUUGGUUUUUUGUUUUUGUUUUUGUUUUUGUUUUUGGGAUUUUGAGACAGAGUUUCUCCGUACAGCCCUGACUGUCCUGGAACUCAUUUUUUAGACAAGGCUGGCCUCGAACUCAGAAAUCUGUCUGCCUCUUCCUCCCGAGUGCUGGGAUUAAAGGUGUGCACCACCACGCCUGGCUCCAAACAGAGGUUUUAAAAGCCAUACUGAUGUAGUAAGAGUUUUGGAGAUAGAUAUUUUACGGUUUGAGAAAAAAAUAUAUACAUAUAUAAUUUAUUUUUCUUUUCCAAGAUAGCAUUUCUUUGUAUAGCUCUCACUGCCCUGGAACUCAAUCUAGAUCAGGCUGGCCUUGAACUCAGAGAUUUCGAGUCUCUGCCUCUGCCUCCUGAGUCCUGGGAAGAAAUAUAGUAGCCUGAUUUCUAAGAUUUUAUCCUGAGAUCAGUUAAUAUUCAUAUCAUUCAAAUUCAUUUCAUCAAAUUCAACAUUCUACACAAAAAUACAGUGUUUAUGGUCAGCCAGAAUUUCAUCAGAACAACAGUACUCCGUAUGUCAUUUCCAGUUUAAACCAUGAGGUCUUUUGGUGUAGUGCUUGCUUUCAGCUGCCAGGUAAUUAUCUUUUUUUCUUUUUUAAAUCCUAAAACUAGUUGAUUCUAUUACAGUCUUCAUGUUCAGCUUUCCUUUUGUCUUUUGCCAGUGUCUGAGGUCUGAGGGUAGUCUAGAAGAUGCCUUAAACUUAGUGCUCUCCUGGUACUUCAGGUGCUAAGGUUCUUCUCUAGGCACUUGUAGGCUUUGUAGAUGCUGGUUUCAUAGCUGUCUCCAGGCUUAGGAAUCCUCUCAUUCCUUGAUUCCUAUGGGUUUAAUGAAAAUUUAAAGGCUGUUUUUAGUAAUAGACCAUGCUUCAUACCGUUUUAGUGGUCUUGCAGCUUCUUUGGCUUCCUCAGCUCAUGUUUAGAAGGUGUACCUCAUAUCCACAGUCAGUUAGUUUCCUGGCUGCACAGAUGGAGGUCACUGGUCUCAGCAUUGUUAAGGAGCUAAAGGAUCAGUGAUGCUUUUUCCCCUCAAUUAUUUAUUUAUUUUCAUUCACUUUAUAUUCUGAUCACAGCUCCAGUUCCUUCUCUCUUCCCAGCUCUGCCCUUACAAAUUCCUCCUUCUAUCACCCUCCCCCUUUUCAUAGAAGGGGAAGCCCACCCUGGGACAUGUAGUCCCAGCAGUGACCCUCUUAAAUUGAGGUGCCUUAUACUUUUGGAACUUGCAGUGUUUUUGUUUACUGAGAAUAAAUAAGCCCUGAAAUGGGAAGUAAAGAGAUUUGUGGCCUUACUCUGUUUGGAUAAGGCACCGAGUCUUUCAGAGGAUCAUGUACUCAACUAAGAAAGGGUAAUUAUGGACUAAGGUGCAGCUUUUGUAGUGGAGCUCUUGUUUUGCUUGUGCCAAAAGACUAUGGAUUUCAUCUACUAGCAGAGAAAAGACAAAGAUUAUUGAUUAUAAUUGACCAUAAUAACCAGGGUGAGAAAGAGAUCUGUUUUCAAAAGUCAAGGCCCUGCACAUGCAUGUAAGGUGGUCAAGACCCUGCACAUGUGUGUAAGGUGGCAGCUGUUGCCCAUUUAAGAGGGUUCUCAAGUUCUUGUUUAUGCAGUGUUUGCCUAGGUUACCUCUUACAGUAGGUCCAUAGCUGUUUCAAUUAACUUGUCAUAAGGCUUUUAAAAGCACAUUGGAGACAGGGUCUCAUGUACUCAUGCCUGGCCUGGUACUCACAGAGAUCUUUCUGUCUCUGCUUCCCUAGUACUGGGAUUAAAGCUUUACAAGGUCAUUUAAGUGUAUAGGAUAUGUGUUUCUAUUUUAUUUUAAAUUUUAUUAUUGUUGCUUUUUGUUUUGAGAUAGGGUCUUACUACAUACUUCUGUUGAUCUUAAACUAAAUGUGAGUACCAGUUGGUUUUGAACUCAGAGAUCCUCAUGCCUUUUCCUCCCUUGUGCUGAGAUUAAACUCAUGUGCCACCACAUCUGGCUAUUUUAAUUUUAAUUAUGUGCAUGUGUGAGUGUGGGUGUGUACACAUGUGUGAAGGUGCUGAAGGAGGCCCCUGAAACUGCAGUUAAUAGGCCACUGAUGAGUGUGCUGGGAACUGAACUACAAGAGCUAAGCCAUCUCUAUGGUUGAAUAUGUGAUUUGUAAAGCCUCCAUUUUAAAAUAUUUACCCACUUCAUUGGUGAGAACUCACACAUUUUCUUAUGUACAUUGAAGAUAAUCUAAUUGUAUUUACUAUGGUGAGAAUUCCUGUUUUGAGGUAAGAUGUAUUUACAGAAAGUGAUGGAAGGCCUUACUUGAGUUAGGAGUUAUUUCAUGUUGUGGUUUCUCAUAAUCGAGGUGACACUUUGGAAUUUUUUGCCACUCUUCAAAAUUUAAGAGUUUUUCUAUUUCUUGUAAAUUAGGUGUGUCCUAUGAGCAAGUCUCCAUAUGUGGACCCUCAGAAGUCUGGACAUGAAAUCUGGGAAGAAUUUUCAAUGAGUUUUACCCCAGCAGUAAAAGAGGUGGUGGAAUUUGCAAAGAGGAUUCCUGGCUUCCGAGAUCUGUCUCAGCAUGAUCAGGUCAAUCUGUUAAAAGCUGGGACUUUUGAGGUUUUAAUGGUACGAUUUGCUUCAUUAUUUGAUGCAAAGGAACGGACUGUCACCUUUCUAAGUGGUAAGAAGUACAGUGUGGAUGACCUGCACUCAAUGGGAGCAGGGGAUCUGCUCAGCUCUAUGUUUGAGUUCAGUGAGAAGCUGAAUGCCCUCCAGCUCAGUGAUGAGGAAAUGAGCUUGUUCACAGCAGUUGUUCUGGUAUCUGCAGAAGCAGUUGAAGUUAGCAUCAAAUUUAAAGAAAUAAGAAACUCUGGAUUGGAAAGAUGGCUCAGCAGUUAAGAGUAAUGGCUGAUUUUCCAGAGAACUAGGGUUUGAUUCCUAGCACCAGUUCCAGAGAAUCCCACUUGGUAUCAGGCAUCCAAGUGGUACAUGGACAUACUUAUCGAUCUGGAAUUGAAAAUGUCAACUCAGUGGAGGCUUUGCAGGAAACACUCAUCCGUGCACUAAGGACCUUAAUAAUGAAAAACCAUCCAAAUGAGGCCUCCAUUUUUACAAAAUUACUUCUAAAGUUGCCAGAUCUUCGAUCUUUAAACAACAUGCACUCUGAGGAACUCUUGGCCUUUAAAGUUCAUCCUUAAGGCCUUUGAACAUGAACUGAUGCUAAUGUACAUUUUAUGCUGAGAUGUUUAUUUAUAUGUGUAUACUAUAUUGUGGAAAUAGAAAAGAACUUAGCGCCAGGUCCUGGGCUGUCUCUGUAGUCAGUCACCAGUAGCUGUUGGGAUAAGAACUCGUUGUCUUGUUAGACAUUGGCCCACCCUCCCCUGUAGACCAAUCAGCUGUGUUGCACUUAGACUGGAGAAGUUACACUGAAUUAUAAUCACACUGAAUGUUAGACUUUUUCAUCUGCCAAAGCCAAAAUACCAUUUGAUCUCCCCAUGGUAUAAAUCUAGCGCACAUUGCCGAUAUAGGAGGACUUAGACAUUAACCCUUUGUGCUGGGAAUUCUGUUGUACCACAAGACUGAAAUGUGGUAAGGGAGACUGAGAGCCAAGAGGUCUUUAUGUACUUGGAUUUUGCUCUGCCACUGUCAAAGUACGUGGUGGUGGCAGUCUCUGAGUUUUGGAAAAUGAUAAUUGAUAGUGUCCCCAAUGUUCUGCCUCAAAUACUGAAAACUAUCCAUAAAGCGUCUUUACCUCUUGGGAGAUAGGCACUAUGUAAAUAAGGUGAAGUUUUUAUUAUAAUUGCUCAUAAUAGUAUUCUUGUCUUAUUUCUAAGCAUUUCUGGGAAACUUUGACAGUCCACACCAAUUUAUUCAGGGUUCCUGCUCAAGUAGGGUACCCUACUGAUAAACACAUAUUCCAGGUUUAUGGACACCUCAAAUAGUAUGUGUACAUAGUGUGUAUGUGAAUAUAAUUAUAUAUAAAAAUCUUACUUCACAAUAUUUUAAACUGUGAAGAACUUUAUCAUACAAUAAAACUUAAACAAGAGGUGUCAAGGACCCAAAUUAGGUGCAUUUUACCUGUUGCUGCUGAUGUAUAACCAUUGCUUUACAAUGUUUAGAUGGUAGAAUACUGAAGUUAAUGCUCUUAUUUUUGUUUAAGGAACAUUUAAUGUAAAAGUGUGAAGAGCAGUCAAAUCUGGAUUUUAGAAAAAAAUGUAUUUUAGGAUGCAUCUUUGAUACAAUCUGCAGUUGAAGGUAAUAGAUGUUUCAGUGUUUCAGCUUUCUACCUUGUGCUAUUAGUAGAGGUGGUAUUGCUGCCUCUUACGUGCUUCAGGUGGAUGGCAGAUUUGGAUUCUGUAUGGAGGAGGUUUUGUUUAGGAAAACUUUGUGACCUGUUGGCAUGUUUGUGCCAAGUCCACUUUUCUUUCUUUCCCUAAAUAAUACUACAGGGAUUUUGUCAAUUUAGAUUUAAUAUAAUUUGAGAAACCUUUUAGUAAGUGACCUACCUACAGGCUUAGAGAUCAUGGUAGGAAAGAUGGCCAAAGUUAAAGAUUCAUGAACAACACCCCGUGCCCCCCAAAGUAGCAAUUCAUUGUAUUUUGGGGGUAAAAUUACUUUCUGUGUAAUGCUAGAUUAUGUGAAAUUGUAACGACAUUAAGAACCUGCUUUACUACUUAAAGCCUGUUACUUUUAUGACAUUUAAUCAGAAUGCCUUAUUUUGUAGUUUUAACUUGUUGCUACAGGAUUUGAACUUCUGUGGUACAGUUAGGAGAGCUUGAGAAAGAUAAACUCCUAUUGUCAAAGAGGAAAGUGAUGGUGUGUCUGUCAUUCAGUAGGGACCAUAACUGCUGCUUACGUUCAGUGGGUAUGGCUUUUAUGGGAUAUACAGCUAGGUUUUGUGAAUUCUUUACAUGAUAGCAUUCUUUUAUUUUUUUUCGUAGGAUAAAAAAAUGCAUAGUUUUCUUCUAUGAGGGAUAGAGAACUUUUUUGAAAUAAUACUAUGUUGAUUCUUUAUUUUUGCCUUUUACAUAAGUGUCUUUAUAACAUGUAUCUUUAGAGCAGUUAAGUCUUUGGAAAUAUGUAACCAGAACUGUUAGUAUUGCUUGUGAUGCUUUAGUUAGGGUUAGUAUAUACAUGUAUACACCAAAAUACAAGCAUGUAGAUUUGCAUUUUGUCUCGUAAAAUUUUAUUUUAAUAAAUUCUUCCUGAAGUAAUGGGAAACAAAAUCCAUAGUUCAUAUGCCACAUGUAGUAUUUCUGUAUUUGAAAGUAGCCCAAAGAUGAGCAUUCUAAUUCUAAAAUGAAACCAGCAGCCUCAUACAAGCACAUUCUUUGGUUGAGUCAUGGUCUAACAGUUAAUAAAUGACAUCAGCCAGAUAGAGAACCUCUGAGUCAGUGGGGUACUGUUGAUAAUUAACAAUGUACUGUAUGAAUUAAGUGACAUGUUAACCCUGACUUUAUGUUUCAAGGUUAAAAUAUGGGCAUUAUCUCAUCAGACUUAUGGGCAUUAUGUUAACAAGAUGAACCAUUUUUUCCUGUGCUUUUAGUAUGUGAUAUGAGAGGAUUCCAGCUUCUAGAGAGUGAACACUGAGGGAAAGGAGAGACAUCGUAGGAUAAAGUUUGUUCUCCUGGUAAUGGUUAAUUGCAGAUAAAAAAAUUUGAAGGGUGUUUCAGUAGAUUAAUAUAUAGAUUUCAUAUCUACAUUGUAAGAAAUUACCAUUGUGAUUGGGUCAGAAUUGAUGUGUGUUAUAUAAACAUUGCAAAGCAAAGCUGUGAGAGAAGCUCAGAUAGAUGUAUCUUUUUGCAAUAUAAAGUUUGCUGAAUGUA